UCACCCAUCCCUCAUGGUACUACUUCGCUAUCGGUCACCUAGGAGUAUUUGGCCUUGCAAGGUGGUCCUUGCUGAUUCACACGGGAUUCCACGUGCCCCAUGCUACUCGGGUCAGAGCGUAAGCUAGAGAUAAAACCUCGAAUCAAUUAUUUUUCUCGAGCCGUACGAGGAGAAAUCUUUAUUUGAAUCAACUUCGUUUUUACUCUUGUUCGUUCUUUAUCCAGAAGAUGAUAGAGGUGGAAUAGAAUAACCCAGUUGAAGCGUAAUGAUCAUACGUCUGUAAGGCACUGUAUGUCCCUUUCACCCAUCCCUCAUGGUACUACUUCGCUAUCGGUCACCUAGGAGUAUUUGGCCUUGCAAGGUGGUCCUUGCUGAUUCACACGGGAUUCCACGUGCCCCAUGCUACUCGGGUCAGAGCAUAAGCUAGUGAUGCUUUCGGCUACUGGACUUNNNNNNNNNNNNNNNNNNNNNNNNUCCCCAUGCUACUCGGG
rnacentral:lncRNA from 1 species